UUGGAAGGACUUUCUGUUGGACGCAUAUUGGGCACUGCUUCAACUUGCUGCGCAUUAUAGCAGUACCCAAUGUGCGUCCAAAAGAUCGUCCUUCCAC
rnacentral:pre_miRNA from 1 species